rnacentral:rRNA from 1 species
CCUACGGGAGGCAGCAGUGGGGAAUUUUGGACAAUGGGCGCAAGCCUGAUCCAGCAAUGCCGCGUGCAGGAUGAAGGCCUUCGGGUUGUAAACUGCUUUUGUUACGGAACGAAACGGUGAGCUCUAAUAAAGUUUGCUAAUGACGGUACCGUAAGAAUAAGCACCGGCUAACUACGUGCCAGCAGCCGCGGUAAUACGUAGGGUGCGAGCGUUAAUCGGAAUUACUGGGCGUAAAGCGUGCGCAGGCGGUUAGUAUAAGACAGAUGUGAAAUCCCCGGGCUCAACCUGGGACCUGCAUUUGUGACUGUAUAGCUAGAGUACGGUAGAGGGGGAUGGAAUUCCGCGUGUAGCAGUGAAAUGCGUAGAUAUGCGGAGGAACACCGAUGGCGAAGGCAAUCCCCUGGACCUGUACUGACGCUCAUGCACGAAAGCGUGGGGAGCAAACAGGAUUAGAUACCCUGGUAGUCCACGCCCUAAACGAUGUCAACUGGUUGUUGGGUCUUCACUGACUCAGUAACGAAGCUAACGCGUGAAGUUGACCGCCUGGGGAGUACGGCCGCAAGGUUGAAGCUUAAAUGAAUUGACGG